GAUGAACGCUGGCGGCGUGCCUAAUACAUGCAAGUCGAGCGAACGGACGAGAAGCUUUCUUCUCUGAUGUUAUCGGCGGACGGGUGAUUCACUCGUGGUUAACCUACCUCUAAGACUGGGAUACCUUCGGCAAACCGUAUCUGCUACCGGAUAAUAUUUUGCACCUCAUGGUUCCAAAGUUAAAUACGGUCUUUCUUUCACUUAUAGAUUGAUACGCGCUGCAUUAGCUAGUUGGUUAGGUAACUGCUUAACAAGGCAACGAUGCAUAGCCGACCUGAGAGGGUGAACGGACAGACGGGAACUGAGACACGGUACAGACUCCUACGGGAGGCAGCAGUAGGGAAUCUUACGCAAUGGGCGAAAGCCUGACGGAGCAACGCGGCGUGAGUGAUGAAGGUCUUCGGAUGGUAAAACUAUGUUAGUAGGGAAGAACAUAUGUGUAAGUAACUGUGCACAUCUUGACGGUACCUAAUCAGAAAGCCACGGCUAACUACGUG
rnacentral:rRNA from 1 species